AUUGAACGCUGGCGGCAGGCUUAACACAUGCAAGUCGAGCGGGGACUUCGGUCCUAGCGGCGAACGGGUGAGGAAUGCUUGGGAAUCUGCCUUGUAGUGGGGGAUAACGUUUCGAAAGGAACGCUAAUACCGCAUACGUCCUAAGGGAGAAAGGGGGGGAUCUUCGGACCUCUCGCUAUAAGAUGAGCCCAAGUCGGAUUAGCUAGUUGGUGGGGUAAAGGCUCACCAAGGCGACGAUCCGUAGCUGGUCUGAGAGGAUGAUCAGCCACACUGGAACUGAGACACGGUCCAGACUCCUACGGGAGACAACGGUGGGGAAUAUUGGACUAUGGGCGAAAGCCUGGCCCAGCCCUGCCGCGUGUGUGAAGAAGGCCUUCGGGUUGUAAAGCACUUUAAGCGAGGAGGAAUGGCUCUGGGUUAAUACCCUUGAGCAGUGACGUUACUCGCAGAAUAAGCACCGGCUAACUCUGUGCCAGCCGCCGCAGUAA
rnacentral:rRNA from 1 species